rnacentral:rRNA from 1 species
GGGAUUGCCCCAGUAACGGCGAGUGAAGCGGCAACAGCUCAAAUUUGAAAUCUGGCCCCCCCCCGGGGGGCCCGAGUUGUAAUUUGCAGAGGAUGCUUUGGGCGAGGCGCCUUCCGAGUUCCCUGGAACGGGACGCCACAGAGGGUGAGAGCCCCGUCUGGUCGGACGCCGAGCCUCUGUAAAGCUCCUUCGACGAGUCGAGUAGUUUGGGAAUGCUGCUCAAAAUGGGAGGUAUAUGUCUUCUAAAGCUAAAUACCGGCCAGAGACCGAUAGCGCACAAGUAGAGUGAUCGAAAGAUGAAAAGCACCUUGAAAAGGGGGUUAAACAGUACGUGAAAUUGUUGAAAGGGAAGCGCUCGUGACCAGACUUGGGGCGGGCGGAUCAGCCGGCGUUCUCGCCGGCGCACUCCGCCCGUCCCAGGCCAGCAUCAGUUCGCGCCGGGGGACAAAGGCGGCGGGAACGUGGCUCCCCAGGGAGUGUUAUAGCCCGCCGCGCCAUGCCCCGGGGGCGGACUGAGGGCCGCGCAUCACUGCAAGGAUGCUGGCGUAAUGGUCACCAGCGACCCGUCUUGAAACACGGGCCAAGGAGUCGUCCUCGUAUGCGAGUGUUCGGGUGUCAAACCCCUACGCGGAAUGAAAGUGAACGUGGGUGAGAGCUUCGGCGCAUCAUCGACCGAUCCUGAUGUUCUCGGAUGGAUUUGAGUAGGAGCAUACGGGGCCGGACCCGAAAGAAGGUGAACUAUGCCUGUGUAGGGUGAAGCCAGAGGAAACUCUGGUGGAGGCUCGCAGCGGUUCUGACGUGCAAAUCGAUCGUCAAACAUGGGCAUGGGGGCGAAAGACUAAUCGAA